rnacentral:rRNA from 1 species
AGAGUUUGAUUCUGGCUCAGGAUGAACGCUGGCGGCGUGCUUAACACAUGCAAGUCGAACGGAGUUUUAACGGAAGUUUCGGAUGGAAGUUUAAGAACUUAGUGGCGGACGGGUGAGUAACGCGUGGGUAACCCGCCUCAUACAGGGGGAUAACAGUUAGAAAUGACUGCUAACACCGCAUAAUAUAGUGAAACCGCAUGAUUUUUGCUAUCAAAUAUUUAUAGGUAUGAGAUGGGCCCGCGUCUGAUUAGCUAGUUGGUGGGGUAAAAGCCUACCAAGGCGACGAUCAGUAGCCGGCUUGAGAGAGUGACCGGCCACAUUGGGACUGAGACACGGCCCAAACUCCUACGGGAGGCAGCAGUGGGGAAUAUUGGACAAUGGGGGAAACCCUGAUCCAGCGACGCCCGCGUGAGUGAAGAAGUAUUUCGGUAUGUAAAGCUCUAUCAGCAGGGAAGAUAAUGACAGUACCUGACUAAGAAGCCCCGGCUAACUACGUGCCAGCAGCUGC